UACGAAGGGGGGCUAGCGUUGUUCGGAAUUACUGGGCGUAAAGGGUGCGUAGGUGGUUUAGUACGUCAGGAGUGAAAUCCCCAGGCUCAACCUGGGAAUUGCUUUUGAGACUACUAGACUUGAGUACAGGAGAGGUGAGUGGAAUUCCCCGGUGUAGAGGUAAAAAUUCGUAGAUAUCGGGAGGAACACCAGUGGCGAAGGCGGCUCACUGGCCUGUAACUGACACUGAGGCACGAAAGCGUGGGGAGCAAACAGG
rnacentral:rRNA from 1 species